GUUUACGCCUCUCAGAAUGUGUCAUGGUCGAAAAGCCCGCCCCUUCCUUUCGUUGCUAUGGACUACAGAGCCUAACGAUGACCUCCUUCACCUGCAUCAACACGUCUUUGGACCGAAUAUUAAGAUUUCUCAUGAACAGAUACCGAAUGCAAAUUCAACACUUGGAAUCGACUCAAGACUUUUUAUCUCCUUAAUUUGUCAUGAAAUAACGAGGAAACAGGUCACACCUGGCCAUGAAACUGCUUACCAGUCAAUUGUCCCAUUACUUUUGAACCGUGUAAAUGGAGGGACUCUGUAAAAAAAAAAAAAGGCUGUAAUUCCUAAACGGUUAAAAUGCUAUGUCAUGUAGAUGUGUUAUGUUGUAUUUUACACCUAAAAUGUUAAUGAAGCACAUUACAUAUUAAAAGAAUUUUGAAUGCA